rnacentral:rRNA from 1 species
GACGAACUGAGCUAGCAUUGUUCGGAAUUACUGGGCGUAAAGGGCGUGUAGGCGGUAUCAUCAGUCAGAUGUGAAAGCCCCAGGCUUAACCUGGGAGGGGCAUUUGAUACUGUGGAACUAGAGAUCGAGAGAGGAAAUUCGAAUUACGAGUGUAGAGGUGAAAUUCGUAGAUAUUCGUAAGAACACCAGUGGCGAAGGCGACUUUCUGGCUCGAUACUGACGCUAAGGCGCGAUAGCGUGGGGAGCAAACAGG